GGUUGUGGCUCAGAGGUAGAGUGCUUGCCUAGCAUGUGUGAGGCACUGGGUUCAAUCCUCAGCACCA
rnacentral:tRNA from 1 species